UGGGGAAUAUUGCACAAUGGGCGCAAGCCUGAUGCAGCAACGCCGCGUGAGGGAUGACGGCCUUCGGGUUGUAAACCUCUUUUAGUAGGGAAGAAGCGAAAGUGACGGUACCUGCAGAAAAAGCACCGGCUAACUACGUGCCAGCAGCCGCGGUAAUACGUAGGGUGCGAGCGUUGUCCGGAAUUAUUGGGCGUAAAGAGCUCGUAGGCGGUCUGUCGCGUCUGCUGUGAAAACCCGAGGCUCAACCUCGGGCCUGCAGUGGGUACGGGCAGACUAGAGUGCGGUAGGGGAGAAUGGAAUUCCUGGUGUAGCGGUGGAAUGCGCAGAUAUCAGGAGGAACACCGAUGGCGAAGGCAGUUCUCUGGGCCGUAACUGACGCUGAGGAGCGAAAGCGUGGGGAGCGAACAGGAUUAGAUACCCUGGUAGUCCACGCCGUAAACGUUGGGCGCUAGAUGUGGGGACCAUUCCACGGUUUCCGUGUCGCAGCUAACGCAUUAAGCGCCCCGCCUGGGGGAGUACGGCCGCAAGGCUAAAA
rnacentral:rRNA from 1 species